UACGUAGGGCGCAAGCGUUAUCCGGAAUUAUUGGGCGUAAAGGGCGUGCAGGUGGUCUGUUAAGUCUGGCGUGAAAGCUCUCGGCUAAACCGGGAGAGGUCGUUGGAUACUGGCGGACUAGAGGACGGUAGAGGCGUGUGGAAUUCCGGGUGUAGUGGUGAAAUGCGUAGAGAUCCGGAGGAACACCAGUGGCGAAGGCGACACGCUGGGCCGUACCUGACACUAAAACGCGACAGCAUGGGGAGCGAACGGG
rnacentral:rRNA from 1 species